UUGGCAGAGAAGAAAAGGUACCUCCUAAUCCGGGGUCUAUUGACGGUAUCUGCAAAAUAAGCCCCGGCUAAUUACGUGCCAGCACCCGCGGUAAUACGUAGGGUGCAAGCGUUAAUCGGAAUUACUGGGCGUAAAGCGUGUGUAGGCGGUUCGGAAAGAAAGAUGUGAAAUCCCAGGGCUCAACCUUGGAACUGCAUUUUUAACUGCCGAGCUAGAGUAUGUCAGAGGGGGGUAGAAUUCCACGUGUAGCAGUGAAAUGCGUAGAUAUGGGGAGGAAUCCCGAUGGCGAAGGCAGCCCCCUGGCAUAAUACUCACGCUCAGACACGAAAGCGUGGAGAGCACACAGGAAUAGAUACCCUGGUAGUCCACGCCCUAAACGAUGUCAUCUAGCUGUUGGGGCCGUUAGGCCUUAGUAGCGCAGCUAACGCGUGAAGUGACCCGCCCCU
rnacentral:rRNA from 1 species